AUCGCUUCUUGGCCUUUUGGCUAAGAUCAAGUGUAGACACAAUACUAUUUUAUGUUUAUAGACUAUAGUAUAUAUAAACAUAAUUUUUAUAGGCAUUGGGAAACCACAGAAUUUUUGUGGCUAACUUUAUUGUGGAUACUCACUUUUUUGCAGUGUCUGGGACUGAAUCUGCUAUCU
rnacentral:snRNA from 1 species